GGACGGUGAGGGAGACCGCGAGGGACAGGGGGCCCGCCGGGCCGCCAGGCAAGCAAGGCAGUGAGUGGGGACUGCUGAGCCAAUGUUUGUGGAGUGAACGGCGUUGGGCUCACAGGUAAGUCACAAGCAGGGACUUGAGCAAGCCCUGGGCUCAGCACCUCAGCCCACAGUCCCUCCUUUGCCGGGGGGUUGGGCGUGCGCCGCGUUGGGGUUACAAAGUUGGAGUGCUUUUCCACUGUGUCUCUUGGCCACUGCCAGUGGGGACAGGCCUGGAGAAGGUACACAAGUCUGUAUUGCACACUAAUUGUUGAGCUGCAUUGCACAGGCAAGCUGGCCCCAUGCGCUCCUGGAACUCCCUGAGGAUUCACAGAUCACAGGGCUAUGUCUCUGCCAUCCCCUGCCUGCAAUGCUCUAGCAAUGGGAGUCCUUUAUGGUCUUCACAUAGGCGCAGCCGGAGGCCUCCCCUGGGAGUGCAGCUGGGAUUUGGGUGAAUCUCAUUGGGUUUGCCCACUUUGAGUGGAAAUGCAAUUUGAUGGCUAAGCUUACAAGGAAAAACAUCUCUGUCCCUGUCUUCAGAGAGGGAUGGCCCCAAGGUUUGACAUCUGGGGUCCCUUCUGGCGUUGAUGGCCUUGGCCGCCAGGGGCCUGGCUGCUGCUGCUGCCCUUACCACACUUGCCGUGACCCUGAGGGUGGGCAUAAGCCCCUUUGGAGACUACUGACACUUUGACCCUCUAGCUGCAUGGUCCCCCGAGCAUCCCAGAACCGCUGGUAACGGCGGGGCUGCCCUUGGAGACUUGAAGGCUACGGGAGCUUUGUCUUUCCCAAAGGCAGGCCAGCAAGGAGCAAGGC